rnacentral:rRNA from 1 species
UGAGAACGCAGCGAACUGCGAUAAGUAAUGUGAAUUGCAGAAUUCAGUGAAUCAUCGAGUCUUUGAACGCACAUUGCGCCCCCUGGCAUUCCGGGGGGCAUGCCUGUCCGAGCGUCAUUGCUGCCCAUCAAGCCCGGCUUGUGUGUUGGGUCGUCGUCCCUCCUUCCGGGGGGGACGGACCCGAAAGGCAGCGGCGGCACCGUGUCCGGUCCUCGAGCGUAUGGGGCUUUGUCACCCGCUCGACUAGGGCCGGCCGGGCGCCAGCCGGCGUCUCCAACCAUUUUCUUCAGGUUGACCUCGGAUCAGGUAGGGAUACCCGCUGAACUUAAGCAUAUCAAUAAA